rnacentral:rRNA from 1 species
CAGUCGCCGCGGGAAUACGUAGGUGGCAAGCGUUGUCCGGAAUUAUUGGGCGUAAAGGGCUCGCAGGCGGUUUCUUAAGUCUGAUGUGAAGGCCCCCGGCUCAACCGGGGAGGGUCAUUGGAAACUGGGAAACUUGAGUGCAGAAGAGGAGAGUGGAAUUCCACGUGUAGCGGUGAAAUGCGUAGAGAUGUGGAGGAACACCAGUGGCGAAGGCGACUCUCUGGUCUGUAACUGACGCUGAGGAGCGAAAGCGGGGGGGGCGAACAGGAUUAGAUACCCCCGUAGUCCCUGUCUCUUAUAA